rnacentral:rRNA from 1 species
CAGUCACGUUGACUAGGAAUCAGCCUCGCUUUUGCGUGGUGUACUUUCUAGUUGACGGGUCAGCAUCAAUUUCGGAUGCCAUAAAAUGACUGGAGGGAUGUAGCUUCGAUCUCGUAUUGAAGUGUUAUAGCCUUCGGUAGAUGUGGUGAUCGGGAUUGGAGGAUUGCAACGGAUACCCUUCGGGGCUACCUGUCUGAUCUCUGAUUCGUUGCUCGUGGUACCGAAAGCUUGCUUACGGUUAU